GAGUUUGAUCCUGGCUCAGAUUGAACGCUGGCGGCAGGCUUAACACAUGCAAGUCGAGCGGGGGAAGGUAGCUUGCUACUGGACCUAGCGGCGGACGGGUGAGUAAUGCUUAGGAAUCUGCCUAUUAGUGGGGGACAACAUUCCGAAAGGAAUGCUAAUACCGCAUACGUCCUACGGGAGAAAGCAGGGGACCUUCGGGCCUUGCGCUAAUAGAUGAGCCUAAGUCGGGUUAGCUAGUUGGUGGGGUAAAGGCCUACCAAGGCGACGAUCUGUAGCGGGUCUGAGAGGAUGAUCCGCCACACUGGGACUGAGACACGGCCCAGACUCCUACGGGAGGCAGCAGUGGGGAAUAUUGGACAAUGGGGGGAACCCUGAUCCAGCCAUGCCGCGUGUGUGAAGAAGGCCUUAUGGUUGUAAAGCACUUUAAGCGAGGAGGAGGCUACUAGUAUUAAUACUACUGGAUAGUGGACGUUACUCGCAGAAUAAGCACCGGCUAACUCUGUGCCAGCAGCCGCGGUAAUACAGAGGGUGCGAGCGUUAAUCGGAUUUACUGGGCGUAAAGCGUGCGUAGGCGGCCAUUUAAGUCAAAUGUGAAAUCCCCGAGCUUAACUUGGGAAUUGCAUUCGAUACUGGAUGGCUAGAGUAUGGGAGAGGAUGGUAGAAUUCCAGGUGUAGCGGUGAAAUGCGUAGAGAUCUGGAGGAAUACCGAUGGCGAAGGCAGCCAUCUGGCCUAAUACUGACGCUGAGGUACGAAAGCAUGGGGAGCAAACAGGAUUAGAUACCCUGGUAGUCCAUGCCGUAAACGAUGUCUACUAGCCGUUGGGGCCUUUGAGGCUUUAGUGGCGCAGCUAACGCGAUAAGUAGACCGCCUGGGGAGUACGGUCGCAAGACUAAAACUCAAAUGAAUUGACGGGGGCCCGCACAAGCGGUGGAGCAUGUGGUUUAAUUCGAUGCAACGCGAAGAACCUUACCUGGCCUUGACAUACUAGAAACUUUCCAGAGAUGGAUUGGUGCCUUCGGGAAUCUAGAUACAGGUGCUGCAUGGCUGUCGUCAGCUCGUGUCGUGAGAUGUUG
rnacentral:rRNA from 1 species